rnacentral:rRNA from 1 species
GGAUUGCCCUAGUAACGGCGAGUGAAGCGGCAACAGCUCAAAUUUGAAAUCUGGCUCUUUCAGAGUCCGAGUUGUAAUUUGCAGAGGGCGCUUUGGCUUUGGCAGCGGUCCAAGUUCCUUGGAACAGGACGUCACAGAGGGUGAGAAUCCCGUACGUGGUCGCUAGCUAUUGCCGUGUAAAGCCCCUUCGACGAGUCGAGUUGUUUGGGAAUGCAGCUCUAAAUGGGAGGUAAAUUUCUUCUAAAGCUAAAUAUUGGCCAGAGACCGAUAGCGCACAAGUAGAGUGAUCGAAAGAUGAAAAGCACUUUGGAAAGAGAGUCAAACAGCACGUGAAAUUGUUGAAAGGGAAGCGCUUGCAGCCAGACUUGCUUGCAGUUGCUCAUCCGGGCUUUUGCCCGGUGCACUCUUCUGCAGGCAGGCCAGCAUCAGUUUGGGCGGUGGGAUAAAGGUCUCUGUCACGUACCUUCCUUCGGGUUGGCCAUAUAGGGGAGACGUCAUACCACCAGCCUGGACUGAGGUCCGCGCAUCUGCUAGGAUGCUGGCGUAAUGGCUGUAAGCGGCCCGUCUUGAAACACGGACCAAGGAGUCUAACAUCUAUGCGAGUGUUUGGGUGUCAAGCCCGAGCGCGUAAUGAAAGUGAACGGAGGUGGGAACCCGCAAGGGUGCACCAUCGACCGAUCCUGAAGUUUACGGAAGGAUUUGAGUAAGAGCAUGGCUGUUGGGACCCGAAAGAUGGUGAACUAUGCUUGAAUAGGGUGAAGCCAGAGGAAACUCUGGUGGAGGCUCGCAGCGGUUCUGACGUGCAAAUCGAUCGUCAAAUUUGGGCAUAGGGGCGAAAGACUAAUCGA